UCUCUGGUAGUAUAGUGGUGAGUAUCCGCGCCUGUCACGUGCGAGACCGGGGUUCGAUUCCCCGCCAGAGAG
rfam:Strongyloides ratti strain ED321 Heterogonic genome assembly, chromosome: X